CGCGUGUGAUGGUCGACGGCUAACAAACGGAACAGAGCAGAACGCAAAGCCUCUAAUAUCAAGGGGAAGGACGGACUGUUCUGGCCCGCUUAAUGUUUUACCAUCUGUGUAAGAAGCAUCUGAGGCUGUGAUUUCUUGCGGUGGGUCCAGCAGUUGUUCGUGUUCUGACUGAUUUUAAAAAAAAGAAAGGACUUGCCGAGAGAGUUGGGGAGCUACAAGUAAAACGUUUUUGAUACAGACCUUUGGUUUCGAAAGUGUUAUAUAAGUUGUUUGAGAGAAUACAUACAACAUACAAGCUAUUUCUGGAUAUAGAAAACGUUUUGUGCAUACACAAAAGCAGAUUCUAGAGAUGGGCUCCGCGCCAGAGACCGGAAGACAAACACAGCAGCGGGAGAUGUGAGGGAAGUUUGCUGAGCUUGGGGGCCACAUUUCACUAUCCAGGUAUCAUCCACAGACCCUCGGGUUGUCCCAGCAAACAGUCCGGACAGACCGCUACCAUGACGCUACAUCCCCAGGCCGCUGUUACGGCCGUUUUGAGCAAACUCUGUCGUAUUCCUGUGUGGAUCUGUCUGUUGGCCGUCCUUGAAUUCACAGGUAAGGGGAAGAGCGCACUCGUUGUUGAGUAACCAGCGACUGUUGGAUCUGUACAAUUUUUCACCGGCCUUGCAUUUGUGUCUUUGCUGUGUUGAUUGUCUGUUUGUCCGGUUACAAUAAAUAUUCGUAAGUUAAUGAGAGAGGACAAGGUUACACUACACGUUUUCAAUACCAAAA